AAUCAACGCUGGCGGCGCGCUUAACACAUGCAAGUCGCACGAGAAAGGGAGCAAUCCUGAGUAAAGUGGCGUACGGGUGAGUAACACGUCGGAAUCUACCUCUUGGCGGGGAAUAACCCUGGGAAACCGGGGCUAAUACCGCCUAAGCUCGUGAGAGGAAGGCAGCAAUGCACCGAGAGAGGAGCCCGCGGCCGAUUAGCUAGUUGGUGGGGUAAUGGCUCACCAAGGCGAAGAUCGGUAGCCGGCCUGAGAGGGAACACGGCCACACUGGCACUGAACCACGGGCCAGACUCCUACGGGAGGCAGCAGUGGGGAAUCUUGCACAAUGGGGGAAACCCUGAUGCAGCGACGACGCGUGAGCGAUGAAGCCCUUCGGGGUGUAAAGCUCUUUCGACAGGAACGAUAAUGACGGUACCUGGAGAAGAAGCGGCGGCUAACUACGUG
rnacentral:rRNA from 1 species